rnacentral:tRNA from 1 species
UCCCUGGUAGUCCAGUGGGUAAGACCCUGAGCUCUUGAUGCAGGGGUCUUGGUUCAAUCCCUGGUCAGGGAA